rnacentral:rRNA from 1 species
AUUGUUUGGAGAGUUUGAUCCUGGCUCAGGACGAACGCUGGCGGCGUGCUUAACACAUGCAAGUCGAGCGGAAAGGCCCUUCGGGGUACUCGAGCGGCGAACGGGUGAGUAACACGUGAGUAACCUGCCCCUGACUCUGGGAUAAGCCCGGGAAACUGGGUCUAAUACCGGAUACGACCACUCCAGGCAUCUGGUGGUGGUGGAAAGAACUUUGGUCAGGGAUGGGCUCGCGGCCUAUCAGCUU